rnacentral:rRNA from 1 species
AUGAACGCUGGCGGCGUGCCUAACACAUGCAAGUCGAACGAAGCACCUUACCUGAUUCUUCGGAUGAAAGUUUGGUGACUGAGUGGCGGACGGGUGAGUAACGCGUGGGUAACCUGCCCUGUACAGGGGGAUAACAGCUGGAAACGGCUGCUAAUACCGCAUAAGCGCACGAGGAGACAUCUCCUUGUGUGAAAAACUCCGGUGGUACAGGAUGGGCCCGCGUCUGAUUAGCUGGUUGGCAGGGUAACGGCCUACCAAGGCAACGAUCAGUAGCCGGUCUGAGAGGAUGAACGGCCACAUUGGAACUGAGACACGGUCCAAACUCCUACGGGAGGCAGCAGUGGGGAAUAUUGCACAAUGGGGGAAAACCUGAUGCAGCAACGCCGCGUGAGUGAAGAAGUAUUUCGGUAUGUAAAGCUCUAUCAGCAGGGAAGAUAAUGACGGUACCUGACUAAGAAGCUCCGGCUAAAUACGUG